rfam:Bombyx mori DNA, contig: Bm_scaf37_contig21778, strain: p50T/Dazao, build 2, whole genome shotgun sequence.
UUAGCUCAUAUUUUUAUGGAAUGGGAUCGUUUGCGUACGUUUGCCGCUAGGGGCGCUGUUCCAACUGCAUACAAAUUUGAGUUA